CUGGCUGAGAAAUUUCUUGCAUGCUCUAUUGCCGCCAAGAGACAAAUCAAUUCAUCUGCAACAAUUUUGGAUGUACAAGGAGUGGGGUUGAAGAAUUUUAGCAAGACAGCCAGAGAUCUCUUGCUCAAUAUACAGAAAAUAAAUGGUGAUUAUUAUCCUGAGCCCAUCUACUCAAACCUCUUGAAGUUACUCAUCCCUGUUGUCGUCUGCCAUGCUCUUGGCCACGUCACUAGUAACGUGUCCUUUGCUGCGGUUGCAGUCUUAUUCACUCACACAAUCAAAGCUUUGGAGCCCUUCUUUAAUGCUGCGGCUUCCUAAUUCAUCCUUGGACAGUAGAUACCACUGACUCUCUGGUUAUCUCUAGCUCCAGUUGUGAUUGGUAGCUUACUACUCUUGUGUAAUAGAAAUGCUGCUAAAGAUCUUUAUGCACUUAUAUUGGAAUUUAAAUUGUUAUAUAAAAAAUAUUAAUGAAAGGAGUUGAUAUAGAUUUAUAAUUCCUUUUGGACAGUGCAACUGUAUUUUCGUUUCCUAUUCCUUCUGGACAGUGCAACUGGUCAUGCUAUUUCUGCAGCUUAUUACCAUGCUUCAUAGUUAGUCUGAUUCUAUCCUCAAUCUCCCUAUUAGAAUGCUCCCCAAUCUAUUGCUCAUGCUUGCUCUGCACUGAAGUAUAUCUUGUUGGCCAUCUCAGCACAUGUGGACGAUGUGCUAGCAAAAUAUAAGGUUUGACUUUCUGAUAGAGGAUUGAUUCACAGAUUAAGCACAGCUUUUUAAUUUGAGUUUCUAGUUAUAUUAAUGAUUCUUCUGGCAUCUGAGGGAUGUUAUACCACUACCGUUCGGUAACAUACUUCUAUCUUAUUUUUUUUUGGUAUUUUUAUUAUUUCUUCUGGUUUAUUAU